rnacentral:rRNA from 1 species
CAAAAAGACCGCGAAACCGUUNGGAGGGAAACGAAUGCAGCUGAAGCGACUCCCCGUCAGGCUCAGGAGGAGGCGGAGGGUCCUCGGCGGCAGGCAGAAGUCCCCAACGGGGCUCUGGAUUUUGCCGUCGGAGAACGCGGCCCGCCGUCCACUCUGCACUUCUGCGGGGAGUCGGCCAACGGCAGUUGCCCCCGGCUCUGGAGGCGUCUCGGGGGAGGUGGCCCCGCGCUCCGGCGCGGGGAGCGUACAGCCCCGGCGCCCGGCAGUCCGGGCGAAUCGAAAUUCAUCUUUCGGGCGACUGAGGAGAGACGUGCGGUCCCUCGCACCUUUGGCGGCGUGGGCCUUUUUCUUUUGCGAGAAGAGGGCUGGGCCCCUCCCGUCGGGUCGGCGGCCGAGGCGGUCACUGCGCGUCAGUGGCUCGUCGACGGUUUCCGUUGAUUUCCGUCGGAAGGUCGGUCACAACUCGCGCCGC